GGUUGUGGCUCAGCAGUAGAGUGCUCGCCUCGCACAGGCAAGACCCUGGGUUCAAUUCUCAGCACCA
rnacentral:tRNA from 1 species